GCGAAGAACUAAUUAAUCUUUUUGUUAUGUGUCGUACCUUCUAGUGUGAUUGAUGGUGGUGGACUGAGGAAGUAAUAUGUAAAGAUGUACGUUAUUGUCGGUUGGAAUUGGCGUUUAGCGGGAAAAUUAAAUUUAAAUUCAAGUGUAUUUUGGCAUAGUUCCCAAUUAACAACCAUGUAGUGUAUUGUAUUAAAUCAUUUUUAAGAAAAAACUGAAAUUAUUUAUGUCUGUAAUGUCGUUAAGUAACUUAUCUGCAUUUUCUUUUUUAUAUUUAUGUAUAAAAUAUUCUUCGUAGAGAUCCAAUUGUUUAGAUUUGUUUAUGUUUUUAAGUAGAAUUAUUUUGUUUUUGUUGAUUGAAUGUUUAUGUUCUUGUAAAUGUUUAUAUACGUUGGAUGUCUUUUUGGUUUUGUGUUCCUUCAGUCUGGUAUUGAGGUUUCUUCCUGUUUGUCCCACAUAAUUGUCAUCACAAUCUUCGCAUCUGAUCAGAUAAACACCGCUUUUUUGGAGGUCUUCGAAUUUGUGUUUGUUGUUGGUCAAUAAAUCGCUAAUUUUGUUUCCUGAUAGGAACGCCGGGAAUAUAUCAAAUUUAUUUAGAUUUUUAGUAAAUUUAGUUAAAUUAUGAUUGUAUGAGAGGGUUAUAAAUUGUUUGUUAGAUUGAAAGUUAGGGUAAACCAGCUUUCUAAUAUUAUUUUUAUGAAUGCCAUUGAUUAUUGAUUGUAAAGUGGAGAUGUUGUAACCGUUGUUAUGUCCGAUUUUUAAUAUGUUAUUGACUUCUUUUUCAAAGUUUUGUUGUUUUAGUGGUGUAUUGUAAAGCCUGUUGAACAGGAAGUUAAAAGCUGCUUUUUUGUGGGCUGUGCAGUUAUACGAAUCAUUAGGUAUAAUGCAAUCGGUAGUAGUAUUUUUUCUAUAUAUGUCAAAAUUGAUUUUCCCUUCGUCAUAGUUUUUAAUGAGUGUAAGAUCCAAAAAAUUAAUACAAUCGUCGACCUCUCUCUCCAUGGUGAACUCUAUGUUAUUUAUUGAAUUAAUAGUUAUUUAACCAACAAGUCUAUUAAUGAAGGCGAUUAAUUAUCGAGAUAUUUUAACGCGUGAGCGAGCGAAGCGAAGCGAACGCGUUAAUUAUUGAGAUAUUAUUACUAUCUAUAUUACUUCCUCAGUCCACCACCAUCAAUCACACUAGAAGGUACGACACAUAACAAAAAGAUUAAUUAGUUCUUCGCUCAAUAAUUUCAACAUCCUUGCAAACUCAAAACAGAUAUUCAACAUUUCACCAUCAUAUUUGGAUAAUUUUCGGAACUUUAAUAAUAUUUUAUGACCCAAACUACUAUUAGUGGACAUUUUGAGGUUAAGUAAAACGUGAGAAACACACGGAAUAGAUAUAAACCUUCACAUUGACAACUUCAACGAGUUUUUACAAUUUUGACAUUUGAUAAAUAGUAUUGUGGAAAAAGAAUAAAAAUAAUAACAACUCUGCCUCAUACAUUGAAAUUUCGAUAACAUACAAUCAUAAUAAUCAAACGAGAACAUGUUGAAAACAAAACAAACUCCCUCAAGAUUGUCGUAAAACUAAUGACGUCGUGCCUGUCGAAGCCUCUAGAAGGGGCGAAACACGUGUAGCACUUAUUUAAAUGAAUAAAUCAUCGUUUUGGGCCAUUUAAGCCUUUUAUUUCGAUUUAGAUUCUAGGUUAUGUUUAUAUCAAACAUUUAUUUGGUGAUUUAUAAACAUCAAGGUCAUCAGCUGCUAUUAAUUUCUAAUUCACCGUCCAAUAAGAUAAAAGCGUACUCACCACGUGUUCACGCAUGUCUCUUGAGUAGACGGGGGCACGACAGAGACAGAUAUAUAUAUCUGCACUCUAGUGUUUACACUCUUUUGCUGCCUUAGUCAGCGAUAUAGGAGAUAGUAUAUAUAUGCAUUAAAGUAAUAAUAACUUUUCUGACAGUAUAAUUUUUGGUUUUUUGAAUAAAAAUUCUUAUUCUCUGUACUUUUUAAGCAAACGAUACUCUUAUCAAAAUGCACUAAAAUUUAUCGUUUUCAAAAUAAUCCGCUUUUUAUUAUUCGAUACCGACCAAUGGUUUUAGACAGUGAUGUGAAUGUGUAAAUUAUCAAAAUAUUUACCGUAAUUUGCUGUAAAUUACCAAACAAAUUUUUCAUAAAUUACCGCUAGGAGCUAGGAUGUGUCUGCGCAUGCGCUCUCGAUGUUUUGAUAAUGCUGUAAAGCCCCUAUAAGAAACUUAAAAGAGUUGGUUAUAACAGAAACUAUAAGAAGUAUUCUAG